CACCAGACUCCUACGGGAGGCAGCAGUGAGGAAUAUUGGUCAAUGGGCGAGAGCCUGAACCAGCCAAGUCGCGUGAGGGAAGACGGUCCUAUGGAUUGUAAACCUCUUUUGUCGGGGAGCAAAGAGGCCACGUGUGGUCAAAAGCGAGAGUACCCGAAGAAAAAGCAUCGGCUAACUCCGUGCCAGCAGCCGCGGUAAUACGGAGGAUGCGAGCGUUAUCCGGAUUUAUUGGGUUUAAAGGGUGCGCAGGCGGAAUAUCAAGUCAGCGGUAAAAUUGAGGGGCUCAACCUCUUCGAGCCGUUGAAACUGGUUUUCUUGAGUGAGCGAGAAGUAUGCGGAAUGCGUGGUGUAGCGGUGAAAUGCAUAGAUAUCACGCAGAACUCCGAUUGCGAAGGCAGCAUACCGGCGCUCAACUGACGCUCAUGCACGAAAGUGUGGGUAUCGAACAGGAUUAGAUGCCCUUGUAU
rnacentral:rRNA from 1 species